CUCAUUUGUUGUUGCCUAUGUUAUAGGUGGCUGCAGCCCAAGUCCAGUUCCUAUUCUCCAUGUUCUUUUUAAGAGCCCCACCUCUGCAGAUACCUCUUGAAGGACAUCAGUCUCAACAUCACAGAUGAAGCUGUGUUCCAAGGAAAGUUUUUGUUCAUAAAGCCAUUAAAACUCUUGGAUGAGUUUCUUCCUAUGAUGAUCACUCCGAAAGCCCAAUUUAGCAGUGAACAUUGGCUUGAAAUUCUGCUUUCAUUUUUUGAAUUGACUGUUGUUCAAGACUGAAUUGCAUACCAGCCAUGGCUUUCAGCUUGUGAAAACUCAAUAUAUCUACUGCCCUGCUGAGCCCGAAGAGGACAAGAGGGAUUAAUAUUUUAUCAUUUUAAAAUGCCUCCAAGACACUGUCUGACUCAUCCCCAUAACAGCAGUGGGAGACAGGAAGG